AUUGAACGCUGGCGGCAGGCCUAACACAUGCAAGUCGAAUGGUAACAGGAAACAGCUUGCUGUUUCGCUGACGAGUGGCGGACGGGUGAGUAAUGUCUGGGAAACUGCCUGAUGGAGGGGGAUAACUACUGGAAACGGUAGCUAAUACCGCAUAACGUCGCAAGACCAAAGAGGGGGACCUUCGGGCCUCUUGCCAUCAGAUGUGCCCAGAUGGGAUUAGCUAGUAGGUGGGGUAACGGCUCACCUAGGCGACGAUCCCUAGCUGGUCUGAGAGGAUGACCAGCCACACUGGAACUGAGACACGGUCCAGACUCCUACGGGAGGCAGCAGUGGGGAAUAUUGCACAAUGGGCGCAAGCCUGAUGCAGCCAUGCCGCGUGUAUGAAGAAGGCCUUCGGGUUGUAAAGUACUUUCAGCGGGGAGGAAGGGAGUAAAGUUAAUACCUUUGCUCAUUGACGUUACCCGCAGAAGAAGCACCGGCUAACCCCGUG
rnacentral:rRNA from 1 species